AGCGUUGUCCGGAAUUAUUGGGCGUAAAGAGCUCGUAGGCGGUUCGGCAAGUCGGAUGUGAAAUCUCCACGCUCAACGUGGAGGGGCCAUUCGAAACUGCCGUGACUCGAGUCCGGUAGGGGAGUGUGGAAUUCCCGGUGUAGCGGUGAAAUGCGCAGAUAUCGGGAGGAACACCAGUAGCGAAGGCGGCACUCUGGGCCGGUACUGACGCUGAGGAGCGAAAGCGUGGGGAGCGAACAGG
rnacentral:rRNA from 1 species